CGCGGCCUAUCAGCUUGUUGGUGAGGUAACGGCUCACCAAGGCAUCGACGGGUAGCUGGUCUGAGAGGACGAUCAGCCACACUGGGACUGAGACGCGGCCCAGACUCCUACGGGAGGCAGCAGUAGGGAAUCUUGCGCAAUGGGGGAAACCCUGACACAGCAACGCCGCGUGUGGGAUGACGGCUUUCGGGUUGUAAACCACUUUCAGUGAUGACGAAAAUGACGGUAAUCACAGAAGAAGGUCCGGCCAACUACGUGCCAGCAGCCGCGGUAACACGUAGGGACCGAGCGUUGUCCGGAUUUAUUGGGCGUAAAGAGCUCGUAGGCGGUUCUGUAAGUCGGAUGUGAAAACUCAGGGCUCAACCCUGAGACGCCAUCUGAUACUGCAGUGACUAGAGUCCGGUAGAGGAAGAUGGAAUUCCUGGUGUAGCGGUGGAAUGCGCAGAUAUCAGGAGGAACACCAAUGGCGAAGGCAGUCUUCUGGGCCGGUACUGACGCUGAGGAGCGAAAGCAUGGGGAGCAAACAGGAUUAGAUACCCUGGUAGUCCAUGCCGUAAACGUUGGGCACUAGGUGUGGGGUCUUCUAACGGAUUCCGUGCCGUAGCUAACGCAUUAAGUGCCCCGCCUGGGGAGUACGG
rnacentral:rRNA from 1 species